rnacentral:rRNA from 1 species
CCAAUCGCGUAUAUUAAAGUUGUUGCAGUUAAAAAGCUCGUAGUUGAACUUCGGGGUCUACCCAUUGGUCAGGCUUAAUUGUCUGUACUGGUGAGAUGGAUCUCUACCUUCUGAGGAACUUUCAUGCCAUUUAUUUGGUGUGAUUGGAAAUCAGGACUGUUACUUUGAAAAAAUUAGAGUGUUUAAAGCAGACUAUCGUCUGAAUACAUUAGCAUGGAAUAAUGAAAUAGGACGGACUGAUUCUAUUUCGUUGGUUUCUAGGAUCACCGUAAUGAUUAAUAGGGAUAGUUGGGGGCAUUAGUAUUCAAUUGUCAGAGGUGAAAUUCUUGGAUUUAUUGAAGACUAACUACUGCGAAAGCAUUUGCCAAGGAUGUUUUCAUUAAUCAAGAACGAAAGUUAGGGGAUCGAAGACGAUCAGAUACCGUCGUAGUCUUAACCAUAAACUAUGCCGACUAGGGAUCGGACGAAGUUAAUUUUAUAAUGACGCGUUCGGCACCUUACG